CCUACGGGUGACUGCAGUGAGGAAUAUUGGUCAAUGGCCGGAAGGCUGAACCAGCCAUGCCGCGUGAAGGUCAGUGCCCUAUGGGCGUUAAACUUCUUUUGUGCGGGAGCAAUAAUGGUCACGUGUGGCCAGACGAGAGGACCGUACGAAUAAGCAGCGGCUGACUCCGUGCCAGCAGCCGCGGUAAUACGGGGGAUGCAAGCGUUAUCCGGAUUUAUUGGGUUGAAAGGGUGCGUAGGCUGUGAGGUAAGUCAGCGGUGAAAUGCCCCCGCUCAACGGGGUGAAGUGCCAUUGAUACUGCCUUGCUUGCAUGCGGAUGCCGUGGGAGGAAUGUGUGGUGUAGCGGUGAAAUGCAUAGAUAUCACACAGAACACCGAUUGCGAAGGCAUCUCACGAAUCCGCGAUUGACGCUGAUGCACGAACGCGUGGGUAUCAAACAGGAUUAGAUACCCCAGUAGUC
rnacentral:rRNA from 1 species